rnacentral:lncRNA from 1 species
AAAUAUGUAUGUGUGGAUAUUUGAUAGGCCGCAGAUAAAAUGUUUAACCAGUUCCAGGGAGACAAACAAACCGAUAGCCAAAGGAUUGAAAAGAGCAUAUCGGUGACCCUAUGAUAACAUAAGUGUCAAAACAUCCCUCCUACGUGCAAGAGUGGACUGGACGGAGAACCCCCCUCUGUUUACACAGACCUCUGAAAACAACAGUCUCUCCGAUUUUUUAAAUGCAAACAACCUGAAUUACGUGUACUGCGGAGAUGACACCUCCCUUCUGAUACCAGAAGUGGAGGGGAUUCCUCUUGAUGACAAGAGUGAACCCUAGGAAAUUAUUUGAUACCCUCCACUAAAGAGCCGGUAGGGUAGAGAUAUGUGCCAGAGGGGGACAGUUCCAAGUCCGUUUAUUGUCUCCCUGAACCGCCCCCUAAAGGAUCUGCGACAUCCAAGAUUUUGUAUAACCAAAAUAUAAUCUUUAAAUUUAAAGUUAGAUUCAUAAACAAAAAUUAAGUCUAAUUUCUACUACGCUAAAGUAAUAAGUCAAUUAUAAACUGAUAGUGUCUAAUCA